rnacentral:snRNA from 1 species
GCAUGUGAGGGUGAUCUGUCAGUGACUUCUGGUACCCCACUGAUUGCAAGGGUUGGUUUGACUGAUUUGGGUAGCUGGGCAGGUUUCUUUCUCCUUUCUCCCUCAGUGUUCCCUUGUGUCCCUCCCAAAGCUGUGUGCUCGGCUGAUGAGCACAACCUUCCUUGUAGAGAUGGUAUCAUUCGUUGGUCAAGGGUAUACAGUAGCUGCACUCCCCUUCUAGAAACUCCAAACAAGUUCAAGGUCCAUUUGUUUUGGAAUGUAAGGUAGUCAAGCUUCCAAGACUGAAGACACAUCCGAGUGAGGAGCUGCAUGAAGCAGUCUGCCACUGCUU